rnacentral:rRNA from 1 species
ACUCCUACGGGAGGCAGCGGUGGGGAAUUUUGGACAAUGGGCGCAAGCCUGAUCCAGCCAUUCCGCGUGAGUGAAGAAGGCCUUCGGGUUGUAAAGCUCUUUCGCAAGGGAAGAAAACUUAGCCUCUAACAUAGGCUGAGGUUGACGGUACCUUGAUAAGAAGCACCGGCUAACUACGUGCCAGCAGCCGCGGUAAUAC